CCCUUAGAUGUUCUGGGCCGCACGCGCGCUACACUGACGAAUGCAACGAGCUUAUAACCUUGGCCGAAAGGUCUGGGUAAUCUCCAAAUUUCGUCGUGAUGGGGAUAGAUUAUUGCAAUUAUUAAUCUUCAACGAGGAAUGCCUAGUAAGCGCAAGUCAUCAGCUUGCGUUGAUUACGUCCCUGCCCUUUGUACACACCGCCCGUCGCUCCUACCGAUUGAAUGGUCCGGUGAAGCGUUCGGACCGUGGCCUUUGGACGGUUCGCCGUCUGUUGGCAGCGGGAAGUUCGUUAAACCUUAUCAUUUAGAGGAAGGAGAAGUCGUAACA
rnacentral:rRNA from 1 species